rnacentral:rRNA from 1 species
CGCGUAGGCGGACUAUUAAGUUGGUGGUGAAAUUCCGAGGCUCAACCUCGGAACUGCCUCCGAAAACUGGUGGUCUUGAGGUAUGGAGAGGGAAGUGGAAUUCCAGGUGUAGCGGUGAAAUGCGUAGAUAUCUGGAGGAACACCUGUGGCGAAGGCGGCUUCCUGGUCAUAUCCUGACGCUGAGGUGCGAAAGCUAGGGGAGCGAACGGGAUUAGAUACCCCGGUAGUCCUAGCCGUAAACGAUGGAUACUAGGUGUUAGAGGUAUCGACCCCUCUAGUGCCGAAGCUAACGCAUUAAGUAUCCCGCCUGGGGAGUACGACCGCAAGGUUGAA